UACGAAGGGGGCUAGCGUUGUUCGGAAUCACUGGGCGUAAAGGGCGCGUAGGCGGCACUGUUAGUCAGGCGUGAAAGUCCUGGGCUCAACCUGGGAACUGCGCUUGAUACGGCAGAGCUAGAGGAUGGAAGAGGGUCGCGGAAUUCCCAGUGUAGAGGUGAAAUUCGUAGAUAUUGGGAAGAACACCGGUGGCGAAGGCGGCGACCUGGUCCAUUACUGACGCUGAGGCGCGACAGCGUGGGGAGCAAACAGG
rnacentral:rRNA from 1 species